rnacentral:rRNA from 1 species
GAAGCAUGACCGUAAGGACAUGUGGACAGUAUGGGAGUGAGAAUGUUGGCAUGAGUAGCGAGAUGUGGGUGAGAAUCCCACAGGCCGUAAACCCAAGGUUUCCAGGGGAAGGUUCGUCCGCCCUGGGUUAGUCGGGACCUAAGCGGAGGCCGAAAGGCGUAGGUGAUGGACAACAGGUUGAUAUUCCUGUACUACCGAUAACCGUUUGAGAGAAGGGAUGACACAGUAGGAUAAGCUAAGCACACUGUUGGUUAUGUGUGCCCAAGCAUUGAGGCAGUCAAAGUAGGCAAA